CUCUACAUGUUUUUUGUAUAACAAGUACAACCCCUCCCCCCAUUUAAUAUAUCCAGGACUCCAAAGGGUCACUAAUAAUAUUCAAAUUUAUCUACUGCUUUUGAAUAUGUGCAUUCCUAAAGACGUUAACACAAGAGACAGCAAAAUGGACCCAAUCUCCAUGAACGGCAUGGGGAAUGGUGGAUGAGCUGAAAAGGAAUUAUGGCUCACUGACUCAUGACCCUUAGCAUAUGAGCAAUUACAAUCCAGGAUCAGCACCCAUAAUAUGACAUCUGCUAACAUAUAGUACAACAAAACUCCUUUUAUUACCACUGCUGAUUCUCAUCUUGCCUGUUAAUUUAUGGGGCACAUUUGACAUUAUUUCUUUAAAUUUAAAUUGGGGUAUCAUUGAAUUAAUCUCUAUUGUAAUGGCUUAAAAAGCUAAAUGUGGAAUGACAUAGCCAGUAGUUGACUUCAAUGCCUGAAAAUUUACAGUUGUAACUAUGGGUUAGGCCCCUUGCUUAUGUCAUGAACUGUUGUAUAGAGACUGAUACCAUGUACUUUUCUUAUCUCUGGCCUAGAAACUAAGGAAGAUGAUCAAUUUUUUAUUUCACCUGAAAUGUUUUGCUUCUUGGGACAUAUCAGUUCAACUAAUGUUUCUGGAGCAGAAAUCUCAGAGUUUUGUUUAGUAGUUAAGAAUGAAUGUGAGAAUAUGAUUGGAUGUAAUGUGUAUAAACAAAAACCAAACUAGCAGCAUUUAUAUGGUUAUAUGGCAAGAGAGCUUGCCUCAUAUACAUGAGGCCCUGGGUUCCAUUCCCCAGCACC